AUGUCCUCCUGUUCCCUCCUGGCUCCACCUGUCCUGUCUCAUGUCCUUUCCCAGUGGCUCCUGUUCCAUCCCAGCUCCUCCCAUUCCAUCCCAUCCCAGUGUCCCAUGUCCCACCUCGUGUCCCAUCCUGUCACCCUGUACUCCAUUCCAAGGCCUCGUGUCCCAUCCUGGUGCCUCCUGUCCCCUCUUGGCAUCCCGUGUCCCAUUCUAAUGUCCCAUCACAGCACCUCCUGUCCCUUCCCAGUGUCCCAUGUCCCGGUGCCUUGUUCCCAAUCCCGAUACCUCAUGUCCCCUCUCAGCUCCUCGUGUCCACUCCCAGUGUCGGCUCCUGGUGGUUCUUGUUCCAUCUCAGUGUCCCAUCCAAGCUCCUCAUGUCCCAUCCUGGUGUCCCCAGUCCCACCCCAGUGUCCUGUGUCCCAUGUCCUGGUGCCUCAUGUUCCAUGUCAGCUCCUCGUGUUCCAUCCCAGUGUCCCAUGUCCCAUCCCCGUGCCCCGUGUCCCAUCCUGGUGUCCCCAGUCCCACCCCAGUGUCCUGUGUCCCAUGUCCUGGUGCCUCAUGUUCCAUGUCAGCUCCUCGUGUUCCAUCCCAGUGUCCCAUGUCCCAUCCCCGUGCCCCGUGUCCCAUCCUGGUGUCCCCAGUCCCACCCCAGUGUCCUGUGUCCCAUGUCCUGGUGCCUCAUGUUCCAUGUCAGCUCCUCGUGUUCCAUCCCAGUGUCCCAUGUCCCAUCCCCGUGCCCCGUGUCCCAUCCUGGUGUCCCCAGUCCCAUUCCAGUGUCCUGUGUCCCACCCCGAUGUCCCCAGUCCCCUCGGUGCCCCCACCCUGCUCCUGUCCCUGCUCUCAGCCCACCUAUUCCCACUCUUUUCCCACCCAUUCCUGCUCUCAUUCUCACCUGCCCCAGCUCUCAUUCCUGCCCAUCCCCGCUCCCACUCCCACCAUUCCCACUCUGAUCACAUUAUCAUUCCCUCUUAUUCCCUCUCUUUCCUGCCCAUUGCCACUCUCAUUUCCUCUCAUUCCUACCCGUUCCCUCUCUCAUCCCUGUCCAUUCCCUGUCUAAUUCUCUCCCAUCCCUGCUCCAUCCCUGCUCCUGUCCCACUCUGA
rnacentral:lncRNA from 13 species